AACUUUUGGCAACUGAUCACUUGGUUCUGGCAUCGAUGAAGAACGCAGCGAAAUGCGAUAAGUAAUGUGAAUUGCAGAAUUCAGUGAAACAUCGAAUCUUUGAACGCACAUUGCGCCCCUUGGUAUUCCGAGGGGCAUGCCUGUUCGAGCGUCAUUACAACCCUCAAGCAAUGCUUGGUGUUGGGCCUCGCCGGUCACCCGGCGGGCUCUAAACUCAGUGGCGGUGCCGUCGGGCUCUGAGCGUAGUAAUUCUUCUCGCUAUAGAGUCCCGGUGGAUGCUGGCCAACAACCCCCAAUUUUCUAUGGUUGACCUCGGAUCAGGUAGGGAUACCCGCUGAACUUAAGCAUAUCAAUAAGCGGAGGCU
rnacentral:misc_RNA from 1 species